CGCUUCCCCGGAAUCCCUUGGCAAAUGGGUUGUUUUCAAUUUUCAGCUGGGUUAUCUUUAAAAGAAUGAAGCAAAACGCCAGGGGACUUCAUAGGACUAAAAUUCUACCAUAUCCUCCGGUGAUGUCCAGUGUUACAACGCCUGUUGAAUCACCAGACCUAUCUCCUACCCCACCAGGAGUUGUGCUUGGAGUCCAGAUACUUCAAGGGAUCAGUCUUACUGAUCGUUAUGGGACUGGAUAACACAAUUGCUGCUGCUGAACUGCUGUGUGGUUUUCCCCACCUAACCUCAUACAAAGAAAGCCCUGUAAAUCUUCAGUCCUUUCUGAGCCCAUCCAGGACAGUCUAAGAGCACUGCGUGCAGGGCUGGGGAGAGAGAGGGGAAACACCCCAAUCCAGGAAGGCUGUAAUCCCAUGCAAGUCUUGGAAAAAAAAGGGAGAGGAGCAAACAGAAACAGGACAGGCACUUCCUUGGUUUUCUGAAGACAGGCGAAGAAGCAGCAGAAGAGACUCUGUCUGCAAGCCAGUUUAUAAAGCAUUGCAGUGCACUUGGACACCUGCCUUUGAUUGACUGCAGUGGUGCUGCUCGCGUGCUUUUUCAGGGCUAAUCACUGCCUCCUCAACCUCACCUUGUUUUUUGCAUGUGACAUGAUGCAAAGAAAAGAAAAAACUAGGGAUGCUUUGGAGGAGACGUUAACAAAGCCGUUCGCUGCUGAAUGGACAGAUUUCCAGGAAAGCUCAAGUCUACAAUGGCCGCAUUUUCUACAGGACUCAGCCUCAGGCACGGCUGCUGCUCUCCCGACACCUGCACAGUGCCCCGAGUCCUACUGAAAAGCUGACCAAAAAGAUCCUUCGUCCCUCUUCAUAAGACCAAGGGUUUGUCCUCCUGGAUCUACCCUCAGCCUCCUUUGCUACCGGCCUCCACCUCCGAGGCAGCUGCACGUCAAUGACUUUGGAAACAUGAAGUUUAGGAAACACUUGGGGAUCUUUCAGGAUGAAAGGUCCUAUUGACACAUAAAUGUUACAGGCACCUAAUAAAUAAGCUCUUUCGUCCCUUCUUGGUUAACCAUGUUGGUCACCUGACACAACUACAGCUUUGCAAGGAGGACUCACGUUAGUGUUUGGCCCGUUUCAUUUUGAACACACAGAGCUGUGUUUCCCCUGCACUUCCACCUGGCUCCCUAAGUGCAUAACUUGCACAGGCUUCUGCCAUUCAAAUGUCAAAGCAGAACUGAACCUACUUGUGUGAGGAGGCCAGGACGGGACCAGGACGUCUACAUUUGCAACGCGUAGAGGAGGAGUUGGUAUGGGAACAUGCUGUGUAGCUUUUACCCUUCGCCAAAGCCAAGCAGCUACAGCGCCUGGCCUUUUAUUCAAGGAUCUCCACACAGUUUCCAAACCUGCUCAGCGUUACACGUUUGGGUACACGGCAGAUGUCAGAGACAAUUGCUGGCAGUUAUGGGAAGAUGGCAACUAAGCUGUGAUUGUGCCAUCUGUCCAGCUUGCUUGGAAAUGCUGAUGAUUAUAAGAUGCCCCCAUGUCCCCAAGUCCAUGGCCCCUUUCCUUUGGUGGGCAUGGUAUGUAGUUGGGAGAGGAGAGAGCUUCGUGUUACAUAUUACACCGCUGCUCCACCACUAACACUAACACCCAGUGCUGUAAGCAAACAGACCUGUUUGAACCAACUUGCUAAUGAACGUGAGACCGCCGGAGGAUUCGUGGAGGUCUGGGACCCUACCCUCAAAACAGGGUCUACCUCUGGACAGCUUCAGCUUACAUCAAGAGUUCCUCUAAGGAUUAAAUACAUUAAAAAAAAACAGCACAAAGAGGAAAAGAACAUCCAUUACUUAAUGGGUCAAGUUCCUCUUUCUUUUUUCUGCCUCCAGCACUCCCUUUACAUUCUCCCCUCCGUUGAUACCGUCCCACAUUGCCCACGAUACACAUGCCCUUUCAGAUAAACCCUACCAAAUUUGGGUAUUCCCCACCUGCUCAAGAACAAAUAGCAAGUUGAAUUUUGUGUGAUCUAUGACAACACCUGACAUACAUCCAAAGACACAGCUGAGUCCCGUGUAUUUUAUAUUCCCCCUGAAAAACAAAACAGACACAAAACCCCUCCUUCCUCCUUGGUUUAACCACGAGGAAAAGCUCUUAAAUACCCUUUUUUGGGGUCACAUUCCUUGUAUGACUCACUGAAUACAUAUACCAUAAUUACUUUUCACUGUAGAUUUAUGAGCAAGCUUUACCCGUCUUUAUUAGAUCUGCUUGCUAUUUUGAAUGACAUCUUACAGUUUAUGAGUGCUCCGAUUCCUUAGUUUCUGUAUUAGCUGAGGCUGCCAAGUAUUUUUACCCAAUACGUUUUUUUUUCUUAUUUCUCCUGAGCUACAUCCUCUGCCUCUGGCCUAACAGGCGCUGUGCUUGGAGGGCACUUACUCAGCUGGAAGAGUUCAUGUUCCUGCACAAUAGCAACAUGUAAAAUAAAUACGCUAUGCUUUGAAGCGCAGUACCCACAACGAUGGUAACAUACCUGUGCCUUUAAAAAAAAUCACAGUCCAUUUUGGUCUGGGUUAGGAAGACUACAAACUUCAAAAGCAACAACCAAAAUAAAGCAGAUUUUGUUACCAAAAAAGCCAUACCUUAUGAUUCUGAUAGGAGGUCACUGAUAUAAAGGAUGUUUCAGGAAACACGUGUGUGCAGAAGGCUGUGUUCUUCGACCCAAAGGCGUUGUUUUCAUCUGCUUUCACAAUGUGCAGCCGCGGCUGGUAUUUAUGCAUCGAGUUAAGAAUGAUCUGAAAUGCAAUGAAUAAAAAUGAUACGUCUUAAACUAA